rnacentral:rRNA from 1 species
UACGUAGGGGGCAAGCGUUGUCCGGAUUUAUUGGGCGUAAAGAGCGUGUAGGCGGCCGCACAGGUCCGUUGUGAAAACUGGAGGCUUAACCUUCAGACGUCGAUGGAAACCGUGCGGCUAGAGUCCGGAAGAGGAGAAUGGAAUUCCUGGUGUAGCGGUGAAAUGCGCAGAUAUCAGGAAGAACACCGAUGGCGAAGGCAGCUCUCUGGGACGGUACUGACGCUGAGACGCGAAAGCGUGGGGGAGCGAACAGG